rnacentral:rRNA from 1 species
CCUACGGGCGGCAGCAGUGAGGAAUAUUGGUCAAUGGGCGCGAGCCUGAACCAGCCAAGUAGCGUGAAGGAUGACUGCCCUACGGGUUGUAAACUUCUUUUAUAAAGGAAUAAAGUGAGGCACGUGUGCCUGUUUGUAUGUACUUUAUGAAUAAGGAUCGGCUAACUCCGUGCCAGCAGCCGCGGUAAUACGGAGGAUCCGAUCGUUAUCCGGAUUUAUUGGGUUUAAAGGGAGCGUAGAGGGGUUGUUAAGUCAGUUGUGAAAGUUUGCGGCUCAACCGGAAAAUUGCCAUUGAUACUGGCAGUCUUGCGUACAGUUGCGGUAGGCGGAAUUCGUGGUGUAGCGG